rnacentral:rRNA from 1 species
GCGGAACGAGGUUAUCUGAAACAUCGAAGGAAAAAAAACGGCGUCGACCGGCGGACGGGUGAGUAAUGCCUAGGAAAUUGCCCUGAUGUGGGGGAUAACCAUUGGAAACGAUGGCUAAUACCGCAUGAUGCCUACGGGCCAAAGAGGGGGACCUUCGGGCCUCUCGCGUCAGGAUAUGCCUAGGUGGGAUUAGCUAGUUGGUGAGGUAAGGGCUCACCAAGGCGACGAUCCCUAGCUGGUCUGAGAGGAUGAUCAGCCACACUGGAACUGAGACACGGUCCAGACUCCUACGGGAGGCAGCAGUGGGGAAUAUUGCACAAUGGGCGCAAGCCUGAUGCAGCCAUGCCGCGUGUGUGAAGAAGGCCUUCGGGUUGUAAAGCACUUUCAGUCGUGAGGAAGGUGGUGUAGUUAAUAGCUGCAUUAUUUGACGUUAGCGACAGAAGAAGCACCGGCUAACUCCGUGCCAGCAGCCGCGGUAAUACGGAGGGUGCGAGCGUUAAUCGGAAUUACUGGGCGUAAAGCGCAUGCAGGUGGUUUGUUAAGUCAGAUGUGAAAGCCCGGGGCUCAACCUCGGAAUAGCAUUUGAAACUGGCAGACUAGAGUACUGUAGAGGGGGGUAGAAUUUCAGGUGUAGCGGUGAAAUGCGUAGAGAUCUGAAGGAAUACCGGUGGCGAAUGCGGCCCCAUGGACAGAUACUGACACUCAGAUGCGAAAGCGUGGGGAGCACACACGAUUAGAUACUCUGGUAGUCCACGCCGUAAACGAUGUCUACUUGGAGGUUGUGGCCUUGAUCUGUGGCAUUCUGAUCUGACGCGUUAAUAGACCGUCUGAGGAGUACCGUCGCGACUAUUCACAUCUCACAUGACUUGACAGCGGCCCGCACUAUUCGGCGGAGCAUGUGCGUAUAAUUCGAUGCACCUCCAGUAUCACUACGACUGCUGACAUGC